rnacentral:rRNA from 1 species
UACGUAGGGGGCAAGCGUUGUCCGGAAUCAUUGGGCGUAAAGCGCGCGUAGGCGGCCCUGUAAGUCCGCUGUGAAAGUCAAAGGCUCAACCUUUGAAAGCCGGUGGAUACUGCAGGGCUAGAGUCCGGAAGAGGCGAGUGGAAUUCCUGGUGUAGCGGUGGAAUGCGCAGAUAUCAGGAGGAACACCGAUAGCGAAGGCAGCUCGCUGGGACGGUACUGACGCUAAGGCGCGAAAGCGUGGGGAGCGAACAGG